AUCACAGAUAGGUGAUACAAUUGAUGAAAACUCAUGACUUCUUAUUUCAUAUAAUUUUUAAAACUGCCUACCCAAUUCAUAUUUCGUUUUAUGUCUCGCGUCCAGUGUAUUUAAUACCUACCGUUUAGCUACCUACUUUAAACAAUUUGUUAAUGCGUAGGUAUUUUAAGUUAAAUCUUUUUCGGUUAAUAAAAAUGCCGUAAUUUCCCGAAAUAUUUGGACGGAUUUCCCUGCAUCUGAUUGCUGAAAUAUAA